CAAAAACAGACGGGCUGGAGAGAUGGCUCCACAGUUAAGAGCAUGUGCUGCUCUUGUAGAGGACCCAGGUCUGGUUCCCAGGACCCGAUGUGUCUAAAAGACCUGAUGCCAUUUUCUGGCCUCAUGUGGUACACACACAUACAGCAAAGCCAACAGGCACCCGUCUGAGUCCUGACAGCGGCGCCAUGGAUCUAGUCCUCUGGGCUGUGGACGGAGUGGAGUGACCAGCUGUCCAGGAAAUGGAUGCUGGAGUGUUACGUUUAAUUAAAAGGAAACAUUCAGCUGUGGUGUUUUACAAUGUAAAGCAAAUAAUUCCUCUGGGUUCGUCUAGUUUGUGCAAAUAUUUCUCCAAAGGGACUGUGCUGGAACCCCGUGUGCCAACCUGGUCCACAGCCAAACCUUACCCAGUACCUUCCUUAUUAAACCACCAGCCGCCGGGCAGCUCCAAGCUGUGCUGGGCGGCUCCUCCCCG
rnacentral:lncRNA from 1 species